rnacentral:rRNA from 1 species
AACGAACGCUGGCGGCAUGCCUAACACAUGCAAGUCGAACGAGACCUUCGGGUCUAGUGGCGCACGGGUGCGUAACGCGUGGGAACCUGCCCUUAGGUUCGGAAUAACUCCCCGAAAGGGGUGCUAAUACCGGAUAAUGUCUUCGGACCAAAGAUUUAUCGCCUUUGGAUGGGCCCGCGUUGGAUUAGCUAGUUGGUAGGGUAAAAGCCUACCAAGGCGACGAUCCAUAGCUGGUCUGAGAGGAUGAUCAGCCACACUGGGACUGAGACACGGCCCAGACUCCUACGGGAGGCAGCAGUGGGGAAUAUUGGAAAAGGGGCGAAAGCCUGAUACAGCAAUGCCGCGUGAGUGAUGAAGGCCUUAGGGUUGUAAAGCUCUUUUACCCGGGAUGAUAAUGACAGGACCGGGAGAAUAAGCUCCGGCUAACUCCGUG